GCGUGGACUAGUUUCUGGCAUGCUGCGGACCAGUGCCGAUCCACAGACUGAAGGUUGAGGAGCCCUGCUGUAAAGGAUCUUAAGAAACAGAUGUGUGCAAAUGUUUUAAUGAGGCUGGCUUUUUACUCAGUGGUGUUUUAAUGUUUAGGAAUAAAAAGUAGAGCUCAUUCAGCUUUUUGAAUGGUUCUUUAGAUCUUGAUUACAUGUUGAAUUGUUUUUAUAUAUAAUGAUAUCCUUGACAGUUAUCACCUGCAGAAUUCUUAUCCUUCUAUGGAUUAUUAAAUUUCUACCUAUACACAUUAGCCUUUGUGUACUCACCAUCAAAAAAUGCCCUAUACGAAUCUCAGCUGAAAGACAACCCUGCCUUUUCCAUGUUGAAUGAUUCAGAUGACGAUGUUAUCUACGGGAGUGACUAUGAAGAAAUGCCACUUCAGAACGGUCAGGCUAUCAGAGCCAAAUUCAAAGAGGAAUCGGACAGUGAUUAAAUUUGCACAGGAGCAGCCAAGAAUAUGGAACAAGAGUAAUUUUAUCUUUCCUAUAGUCAAGUGAACCAUGCUUUUGGUGGAAGUAUGUCCUUUAUUCCAGUCAUUUUCUGUUUACAAAACUAAAAUGGAUGGGAGUGAGAAAUGAAUGUUUAGUACCAUUUAAAGAAACUUGUGGUUUACCCACCCCGUCUCCUAAAACUCAAUUGCAACAAGAUGCCUCCACACAGAAUGCUGUGGAAUCAGAUUAUUAAAAUCAAUAAGUUUUUGGGCAGUCUUAGCUUAUUAUGGAUUAAUAACUGAAUAGUGGAUUUCCUAAUUACUUCAUUACUAAUAUAAGAGAAUAUUUGCAGCUCAGGGUUGAACUGUGGAAUCUCUGGUGCUCUCUGAGCUUGGUGGUUUCCUUGUAAACAUUUCAUUAUCCAAUUAGAUAACAUGUUCAGUGCUAAAAGGGAGUGGGAUUUGUUCUGUUUAUUUACGGUGGCUUUCCCUGUCAGUGUUGGUGGGAGUGUUGUUUUCUUCUUGAUUGUUCCUUGAUUAGGCUGUGGUUUACUGUUUUGAUU
rnacentral:lncRNA from 1 species